rnacentral:rRNA from 1 species
CAACUUGAGAGUUUGAUCCUGGCUCAGAACGAACGCUGGCGGCAGGCCUAACACAUGCAAGUCGAGCGCACUCUUCGGAGUGAGCGGCGGACGGGUUAGUAACGCGUGGGAAUAUACCCUUCACUACGGAAUAG